UGGACGGUACAACGAGAAGCGAACCUGCGAAGGCAAGCGGAUCUCUUAAAGCCGUUCUCAGUUCGGACUGUAGGCUGCAACUCGCCUACACGAAGCUGGAAUCGCUAGUAAUCGCGGAUCAGCACGCCGCGGUGAAUACGUUCCCGGGCCUUGUACACACCGCCCGUCACACCAUGAGAGUCGGGAACACCCGAAGUCCGUAGUCUAACCGCAAGGGGGGCGCGGCCGAAGGUGGGUCCGGUAAUUGGGGUGAAGUCGUAACAAGGUACC
rnacentral:rRNA from 1 species